rnacentral:lncRNA from 1 species
ACAAGACACAAGGGAGUGUGGAUCUGAAUGUAAUUUUGCUCAAAAUGAGCAUGAGUCUUAUAAGUGACUUUUACACAAAACAGAGCAAUGCCUACAAAGGACUGGCAGGAACCAACUGGGGUAAAAUUCAAUGUUAACAACUGGGAUCAAAAGCAGCCCCACCUAAGGUCAGCUUAAUCUUAGAAGUCAGGGGCAAGGGCUUCGUCCCCUUGCCAUAGUUCCUAUUCUAGUCUAUCCUAUAGUCCACCUUACCCCUAGGCCAUUGUAAAUUCCUGUGUAUGGGUGUAACUCAGCUAUCUAUAGUUCUAAGUAUCCACUCUGGUUCCUCCUUAGACCACAACCUUCCUUUUUCCUGGAUAAUGGUAAAUUCCUGCAUAUGGGAGUCGGGUGCCCUGAGAUUUCUAACUCUUAUCCAGUAAGAUACUGUAAGAAAGCAUGCAAGACCCUCCACAUUAUCACAGGGACAAAUCUGAGGCAUUCUAGCUAUGGGAAUGCCAAAUUUCCAGGAGACUAAGUUUCUGUGAACUUUUUGCCUCAGGACAGCGUCCAGGUUUUUGGGGCUUGUCGGGAAUGUCACUACUGCAGUGGAUGUAGCAAGUUGAGGAGGGUAGCUUAACUUUCAUAAAACUCAAUUAAUUUUUUCUUUUAGAUUUUUCUCAUUUCCUCAUACCCUAUUUUCUGUGUUGUUCAAUAAAUGCAAAGCAAAACCCAUUCUUGUAGACAAGCACAAUUCACUGGCAAGAAGGACAGAGAUACAAACAGGUACAGCAGACAGCGUAUAGAGUAGCUUUUGUUGUAUAAACCUUGUCUCUCAAGUUAUCUGUGAUUGGUUAAUAAAGAUGCCUACAGCCUGUAGCUGGGC